GAUGAACGCUAGCGGCAGGCUUAAUACAUGCAAGUCGAGGGGUAGCAAGAUUGUAGCAAUACAAUUGUUGACGACCGGCAAACGGGUGCGGAACACGUACACAACCUUCCUACAAGUGGGGAAUAGCCCAGAGAAAUUUGGAUUAGUACCCCGUAACAUAGCGAUGUGGCAUCACAUUGCUAUUAUAGCUUCGGCGCUUGUUGAUGGGUGUGCGGCUGAUUAGAUAGUUGGCGGGGUAACGGCCCACCAAGUCUACGAUCAGUAGCUGAUGUGAGAGCAUGAUCAGCCACACGGGCACUGAGACACGGGCCCGACUCCUACGGGAGGCAGCAGUAAGGGAUAUUGGACAAUGGACGCAAGUCUGAUCCAGCCAUGCCGCGUGAAGGAUUAAGGUCCUCUGGAUUGUAAACUUCUUUUAUAAGGGACGAAAAAAGGUCUUUCUAGAUCGUCUGACGGUACCUUAUGAAUAAGCACCGGCUAACUCCGUGCCAGCAGCCGCAGUAACAC
rnacentral:rRNA from 1 species